rnacentral:hammerhead_ribozyme from 1 species
AUCCAGGCUGACAAGUCUAAAAUAGGACGAAACGCGCGUACUGGAU